CUACAGCACGGUCACAUGACUUCACGUCUCCACCGCUAAGCUAAAGGCGGCUAAUGUUGGGCUAUAAAGGAACUACAGCACGGUCACAUGACUUCACGUCACCACCGCUAAGCUAAAGGCGGCUAAUGUUGGGCGUGAUGACGUUAAGUUGUCAGCAGCCUCCGUUUCUGAAUCCUCCAGUGGGAUAUUCACUGACGUGUUUUAUGUUGUAGAACAAGACGUUAAACUCUCUUCAGCUCGUGUUAACCACAGACCUUAUUUCAGGCUAACAACCAAAAACAACUCCAGAGAACCAUUGACCUCCAGACCAGGGGACAGGAAGGGAAGAAAUGCUGAGGAAUGUCAGGGUUUUAGGAGGCUUGGACUUGGGUCCAAAGGGGUCGCCGGUUCACGUCCGGAUUGGACCCAAAAAAAUGGAGUGAGCUGGUAGCUGGAGAGGUGCCAGUUCUCCUCCUGAGCCACUGCCGAGGUGCCCUUGAGUAAGGCACCUGGCAGCCUCCCUGCUCUGCCAUCUCUCCUGCAUGUGUUGUUUGUGCAUGGAUAUCUUCCCUGUGUGUAAUGUGUGUGUGAACACUACAGAGUGGGGAACGGAAUUUCCCUGUAAGGGAUCAAUAAAGUAUUUCUUCUUCUUCUUCUUCAUUCCUGCAGAUCUCUACUGGAAGCUCGGUGGUUUCCCAGGUUUGUUAUUUAGGAGACGAUGACACGGAUUCGUACCCAGACAGGUGGCCUGGAUAGAGACGUGGGGCGAGUGGUUCCCGGUGAAGAAGGACGUGUCCACAUCGAAGCCGUGGAUCUGCCCCGGCACCCCGAGAGCAAUGAUGCACCAGUCCUGACCUCCACAAAAAGUGAGAGAGCGGUACGAUGCGGCGGACGCCUCAGACACUCAGUUGGGAUCGGAUCCCUUUCACCUGUUGAAGUUAUUGUGUUGCUUCUUACCUGGUGUUCUCUUUCUCCUCGUCUCCCAUCCAUCCAUCCACUUCCCAAACUCGGUGAAGGCCGAGGCGAUGAACACCGGCGGCUCUCUCUGGGCGAACAGUACAUCUUAAAGUGAAUACACACACCCGCUGGUAUGCUCAGUUUAAUCCGUUAGGUGAUUAGACUUAAUCCCUACUGGUUCUCCCAGCUUUCCCUUAAAGGAGCCUUUUUAGUUUCACAUUUUACAGAUAUUUCACAUUAUUUUAAAUGGAUAACAACACGAACUAAUGGUAAACUGUGCAGUACACAAGACGUCCGUGUCAACGAGUGAUUUGAGCAGAUUAUGUGAGGUGAAUAUUGCCUCAGAGGUCAGUUGCAAUAUUCUGAUCAAAUAUAGGAAGGACAGGAGGUAAACCACCAGACGUUUCCUUUAAUCGGUUGUCAGUGUGAAAGUGAGUUGUACCUUCAGCAGGUUUGAGGCUGGAGCGAACCAUUCGUCCGUAGCAAAAAUAAUCUGAAAGAACAAAACGCUCAUUUUAAUACAGACCAGAAAAUUACAACAUGUGCAACACUGCAAACCAGAGCAAAGCUGAAGCUGUGUUCAUAAAUAUUAGGGAGGAUUCACUCUCAUGUAUGAGUGGUAACGUACGGAGGCCGACAGGUGCAAACGGCCCAGAACUCUUCCAUCUGGAGCUGCAGCUUCAGGAAGGAUGCAGAUAUAGAAACUGAAAUCAGAACUCAUGCAGAAACAUCUGCAGCAGCUCUUCAACACAUGCAGAAACAUCUGCAGCAGCUCUUCAACACAUGCAGCAACAUCUGCAGCAGCUCUUCAACACAUGCAGAAACAUCUGCAGCAGCUCUUCAACACAUGCAGAAACAUCUGCAGCAGCUCUUCAACACAUGCAGAAACAUCUGCAGCAGCUCUUCAACACAUGCAGCAACAUCUGCAGCAGCUCUUCAACACAUGCAGAAACAUCUGCAGCAGCUCUUCAACACAUGCAGAAACAUCUGCAGCAUCUAGAGAACAUUCAGCAGAGGAAACAUGAGCAGUUUACUAAAAGCUGCAGAAACCAAACGCUGCAAGAAGCUCCAACACAACGGAGACCAGGGGACACUAAAGAGAGACGCACACAGCUGGAGACCAGGGGACACUAAAGAGAGACGCACACAGCUGGAGACCAGGGGACACUAAAGAGAGACGCACACAGCUGGAGACCAGGGGACACUAAAGGGAGACGCACACAGCUGGAGACCAGGGGACACUAAAGAGAGACGCACACAGCUGGAGACCAGGGGACACUAAAGAGAGACGCACACAGCUGGAGACCAGGGGACACUAAAGAGAGACGCACACAGCUGGAGACCAGGGGACACUAAAGAGAGACGCACACAGCUGGAGACCAGGGGACACUAAAGAGAGAUGCACACAGCUGGAGACCAGGGGACACUAAAGAGAGACGCACACAGCUGGAGACCAGGGGACACUAAAGAGAGACGCACACAGCUGGAGACCAGGGGACACUAAAGAGAGAUGCACACAGCUGGAGACCAGGGGACACUAAAGAGAGACGCACACAGCUGGAGACCAGGGGACACUAAAGAGAGACGCACACAGCUGGAGACCAGGGGACACUAAAGAGAGACGCACACAGCCGGAGACCAGGGGACACUAAAGAGAGACGCACACAGCCGGAGACCAGGGGACACUAAAGAGAGACGCACACAGCCGGAGACCAGGGGACACUAAAGAGAGACGCACACAGCUGGAGACCAGGGGACACUAAAGAGAGACGCACACAGCUGGAGACCAGGGGACACUAAAGAGAGACGCACACAGCUGGAGACCAGGUGACACUAAAGAGAGACGCACACAGCUGGAGACCAGGGGACACUAAAGAGAGACGCACACAGCUGGAGACCAGGGGACACUAAAGAGAGACGCACACAGCCGGAGACCAGGGGACACUAAAGAGAGACGCACACAGCUGGAGACCAGGGGACACUACAGAGAGACGCACACAGCUGGAGACCAGGGGACACUACAGAGAGACGCACACAGCUGGAGACCAGGGGACACUAAAGAGAGACGCACACAGCCGGAGACCAGGGGACACUAAAGAGAGACGCACACAGCUGGAGACCAGGGGACACUAAAGAGAGACGCACACAGCUGGAGACCAGGGGACACUACAGAGAGACGCACACAGCUGGAGACCAGGGGACACUGAAGAGAGACCGCUGGGUGACGUUCAGGGUCAUAAAGCUGGACUGUGUCUCUGUGCUUCAGCCGGAGAUGUUUCUUUAUGGGUUCUGAUUUGGGUUUCUAUAUCUGCAUCCUCUCUGAAGUGUUGUAACGCGUUAGCCCCUGUGGGCCACCGCAGUAUUUCCAAAGCACAUUGGUGGUCCCACAAGGACACAACCAUACUUACAAUAGUAUGUCAUUAGAAACCAUAGAAAGGAAGUGAGUGAAAUGUGUCAGAUCCUCCUCUCUGGACUGAUUGAAUGACUUCAAUGCGAACUUAUAUCUGGGGUUAGCAGCUUCAAGUUUUGCCAGUUCUGUCAAACCCUCUGACAAGCUGCUUCUCUCAGUAUCUGCACAUACCAAUACUACACAUACUUUAUUAUUCGGAGUACUUUUCCAUAGUAUACUGCACGUAGUUUCAAGUAUAUCCAGAUUUCAUGUAAAUAAAAUGAGCUUAAAGUCGA